rnacentral:rRNA from 1 species
UGGAGCCAUCCUUGAAAUACCACCCUUUAAUGGCUGGUGUUCUAACGUGGGCCCGUAAUCCGGGUUGCGGACAGUGUCUGGUGGGUAGUUUGACUGGGGCGGUCUCCUCCUAAAGAGUAACGGAGGAGCACGAAGGUCAGCUAAUCCUGGUCGGACAUCAGGAGGUUAGUGCAAUGGCAUAAGCUGGCUUGACUGCGAGCGUGACGGCGCGAGCAGGUGCGAAAGCAGGUCAUAGUGAUCCGGUGGUUCUGAAUGGAAGGGCCAUCGCUCAACGGAUAAAAGGUACUCCGGGGAUAACAGGCUGAUACCGCCCAAGAGUUCAUAUCGACGGCGGUGUUUGGCACCUCGAUGUCGGCUCAUCACAUCCUGGGGCUGAAGUAGGUCCCAAGGGUAUGGCUGUUCGCCAUUUAAAGUGGUACGCGAGCUGGGUUUAGAACGUCGUGAGACAGUUCGGUCCCUAUCUGCCGUGGGCGCUGGAGAAUUGAGGGGGGCUGCUCCUAGUACGAGAGGACCGGAGUGGACGCAUCACUGGUGUUCGGGUUGUCAUGCCAAUGGCAUUGCCCGGUAGCUAAAUGCGGAAGAGAUAAGUGCUGAAAGCAUCUAAGUACGAAACUUGCCCCGAGAUGAGUUCUCCCUGACUCCUUGAGAGUCCUGAAGGAACGUUGAAGACGACGACGUUGAUAGGCCGGGUGUGUAAGCGCAGCGAUGCGUUGAGCUAACCGGUACUAAUGAACCGUGAGGCUUAACCUU